rnacentral:rRNA from 1 species
UACAGAGGUCCCAAGCGUUGUUCGGAUUCAUUGGGCGUAAAGGGUGCGUAGGCGGCGCAGAAAGUAGGGUGUGAAGGCCCUCGGCUUAACCGAGGAAUUGCGCUCUAAACUACUGUGCUUGAGGAAGCUAGAGGUGAGCGGAACUGAUGGUGGAGCGGUGAAAUGCGUUGAUAUCAUCAGGAACACCGGAGGCGAAGGGCGGCUCACUGGGGCUUUUUCUGACGCUGAGGAACGGAAAGCCAGGGUAGCGAACGGG